rnacentral:rRNA from 1 species
GACGAACGCUGGCGGCGCGCCUAACACAUGCAAGUCGAACGGAGCGUACCGACGGAAGCCUUCGGGUGGAAGAUGGUAUUGCUUAGUGGCGAACGGGUGAGUAACACGUGAAUAACCUGCCUCAAAGUGGGGGACAACAUUUGGAAACAGAUGCUAAUACCGCAUAAGACCACGGAACCGCAUGGUUUUGUGGCCAAAGGAGCAAUUCGCUUUGAGAUGGAUUCGCGCCCGAUUAGCUAGAUGGUGAGGUAACGGCCCACCAUGGCAACGAUCGGUAGCCGGACUGAGAGGUUGAACGGCCACAUUGGGACUGAGACACGGCCCAGACUCCUACGGGAGGCAGCAGUGGGGAAUAUUGCACAAUGGGCGAAAGCCUGAUGCAGCGACGCCGCGUGAGGGAAGAAGGUUUUCGGAUUGUAAACCUCUGUCUUCGGGGACGAAACAAAUGACGGUACCCGAGGAGGAAGCCACGGCUAACUACGUGCCAGCCGCCGCAGUAAAAC